CCUACGGGAGGCAGCAGUGGGGAAUAUUGGACAAUGGGGGCAACCCUGAUCCAGCCAUGCCGCGUGUGUGAAGAAGGCCCGCGGGUUGUAAAGCACUUUCAGUGAGGAAGAACGCCUGGUGGUUAAUACCCAUCAGGAAAGACAUCACUCACAGAAGAAGCACCGGCUAACUCCGUGCCAGCAGCCGCGGUAAUACGGAGGGUGCGAGCGUUAAUCGGAAUUACUGGGCGUAAAGCGCGCGUAGGUGGCUUGAUAAGCCGGUUGUGAAAGCCCCGGGCUCAACCUGGGAACGGCAUCCGGAACUGUCAAGCUAGAGGGCAGGAGAGGAAGGUAGAAUUCCCGGUGUAGCGGUGAAAUGCGUAGAGAUCAGGAGGAAUACCAGUGGCGAAGGCGGCCUUCUGGACUGACACUGACACUGAGGUGCGAAAGCGUGGGUAGCAAACAGGAUUAGAUAUCCUAGUAGUC
rnacentral:rRNA from 1 species